GAGCGAGAUUCUGUCUCAAAAAAAAAAAAAAAAAGAUAAAAAUUAGCCAGGCUUGGUGGCAUGCGCCUGUAGUCCCACCUACUUGAGACGCUAAGGCAGGAGAAUUACUUGAACCUGGGCUGCAGAGGUUGCAGUGAGCCAUGAGCCAAGAGCUCGCUGCUGCACUCCAGCCUAGGUGACAGAGCUAGACUCCAUCUCAAAAAAAAACAACAACAAUAAAAUGGGGUCAGGCAGGGCAUGGUAGCUCACACCUAUAAUUUCAACAUUUUGGGAGCCCAAGGCAGGAGCAUCACUUGAAGCCAGGAGUUCGAGAGCAGCCUGGGCAAUGUGAUGAGAUGCCGUCUCUACAAAAAAUAAAAAUAAAAAAUAAUAAUAAUAAUAGUAAUAAUAAUGUUUUUUAAAUUAGCCAGGCAUGGUGGCACACACCUGUAGUCCUAGCUACUCGGGAGGGUAAGAUGGGAGGAUCACUUGAGCCUAGGAGUUUGAGGCUGCAGUGAGCUCUGAUUGCACGACUGCACUCCAACCUGGGAGACAGAGUGAGAGACCCUGUCUCUAAAAACAUAAAAAUACAUGUAAAAACAAAAUAGGGAUCAGAAUCCCCACUCUUCCUUCUUCACAGGAUUAUUGUGAGUCUCACAACUUGUGAAUACACUCUGAAGGCAAUAUACAAAUUAAAGGAUGGGGGUUUUUUCCCAUUCAUUCAAUAAAUCGUUAGUGAACGCCUUCUGGAUACAUGACAGCUAGGCCAGGGAAUGAGCCUGCAAAGACGAGGAAGAUGUCUUCUUUUUUGUUUGUUUGUUUGUUUGUUUGUUUGUUUUUGAAACAGGGUCUAGCUCUCACCCAGGCUGGAGUGCAGUGGUGCAAUCUUGGCUCACUACAACCUCCCGGGCUCAAGCCCAUCCUCCCAUCUCAGCAUCCCAAGUAGCUGGAACUACAGGCACGCACCACCAUGCCCAGCUAACUUUUGUAUUUUUUUGGUAGAGAGGGGGUUUUGCUGUGUUGCCCAGGCUGGUCUCAAACUCCUGAGCUCAAGUGAUCUGCCAGCCUCAGCCUCCUAAAGUGCUGGGAUUACAGGUGAGAGCCACAGCACCCAGCCUAAAGAUGUCUUAAGAAUAGGCAUGGGCAAGGACCUCAUGUCUAAAACACCAAAAGCAAUGGCAACAAAAGCCAAAAUUGACAAACGG
rnacentral:lncRNA from 10 species